rnacentral:rRNA from 1 species
UCUAGAGCAGCUGCGGUAAUACGGAGGGUGCAAGCGUUAAUCGGAAUUACUGGGCGUAAAGCGCACGCAGGCGGUUUGUUAAGUCAGAUGUGAAAUCCCCGGGCUCAACCUGGGAACUGCAUCUGAUACUGGCAAGCUUGAGUCUCGUAGAGGGGGGUAGAAUUCCAGGUGUAGCGGUGAAAUGCGUAGAGAUCUGGAAGAAUACCGGUGGCGAAGGCGGCCCCCUGGACGAAGACUGACGCUCAGGUGCGAAAGCGUGGGGAGCAAACAGGAUUAGAUACCCUGGUAGUCCACGCCGUAAACGAUGUCGACUUGGAGGUUGUGCCCUUGAGGCGUGGCUUCCGGAGCUAACGCGUUAAGUCGACCGCCUGGGGAGUACGGCCGCAAGGUUAAAACUCAAAUGAAUUGACCGGGGCCCGCACAAGCGGUGGAGCAUGUGGUUUAAUUCGAUGCAACGCGAAGAACCUUACCUGGUCUUGACAUCCACGGAAGUUUUCAGAGAUGAGAAUGUGCCUUCGGGAAUCGUGAGACAGGUGCUGCAUGGCUGUCGUCAAGCUCGUGUUGUGAAAUGUUGGGUUAAGUCCCGCAACGAGCGCAACCCUUAUUCUUUGUUGCCAGCGGUCCGGCCGGGAACUCAAAGAGAACUUGCCAGUGAUAAACUGGAAGAAGGUGGGGAUGACUCAAAUAUUAUGGCCCUUACGACCUGG